AAAGCGCGCGCGACCGCCGAGCUGUGCUAUCUCCACACUCUCGGCUCGGUGGAACGCGCUCCGAGCGCUCAGUACGUCCUGCGCCGUUGUAAGUCGCGCCCACGCAUUCGGGACGACCCCGUAGCUUAGUCCGCGCCGUUUCGUAUUACUCGACUCGACUUUGGUGCACGAAUAGUGAAACCGGCUCGAAUCUCAUCUCCCAAGGGUCGAAGAUCUCGAGCAUUAACUUAUCAAAUUAACUGAAAACGACUCGCGCGAUUCGCUCUCCUUUUAAGCUAAAUCACUCAAAGUUUUUCGUGCAAAUUAAGGUGCGAGGUUAACAUUCUCCGCUGCAACGAUGACACUCGAAAGACCAGCUGGUCGUGACGUAACCACGACGCAUGAGAUUCCGACACGAGAAACACCGAAACAGAGUGCUGUUACAUCGACGGGGGAAAGUUAGUCAAAAAACGAAUAAUCGAAGGAAAAUCAGCCGCAGGAGGGAAACAAGUUGGAGAAGCAAAGAGAGAAUCCUGCCAAAGAGAGCUCAGUGACGAGGGAGGAAGAACAAAACGAGGAAGAUUGAAAAAAAAAACGAAAAAGCCCGCAUCAAAGUGAGUCUCAAGGUGGACAAAAAAAGUGGAGGGAAACGAAGAUCAACAAUAAAGUGACGCUCGUCGAAGGGACCUUUGAAAAUAAGCGGAAGUAGCCGGCCAUCUUUUUCUCUCGUGUCCCUCUUCGUGUGGACUUUACCCGACAGGCUUUUUCUUUCUCUCUCGAUAUUCUGCGAGAGUGAAAGGGCGACCUGAGCACAGUCGAGAUGAAGGUACCCGGACGAACGAACAAGUGACUCCGCUUCGAGCCUCGAAGCCAAAGUGAAUCAGCCAGCGGAAGUUGAGAGAAAAAAGGAUAAAGCCGAGAACGGGGAAAAGGGAAAGGGAUACGCGAGCGUGGCGGGCUCAGCGGCGGCCUGGCGGCCAAAAGUGUUGCUUCUUUCACUCGGGCAAAAGGGCCCGUGUGAUGGUCUCGGGGUGGUGCCCGUGCGUACCUCUGGGGCGCCGGGAAUCCCCGCGCCCACAGUCCAGCAUCCAUACUGCACACAAUUCAAUCGGCUAUCAUCACGGUGGCCCUUACACCGUUAGCGCCGCCACCGGUAACCCGGAAAUGGUUCAGAUGUUCUACUACGAGAAUCGCGGCAAGUGCUGCAAAAAGUUACUACGUUACGACGGAUACCCCAACAAAGUACUUCUAUUCCCUGACGAAGGUUGGGCAAGAAGCGCGAGUAGUUCCUACUGGACUCUGACGCCGUUCUGGUGGAGUAGAAGUCGGUGCAAAGUCGUCGAGGUCGCCGGAACCAGGAGGUACAGCACGCAAGCGAAAAUGGUCGACACGGGUACGGGGACGCUCUACAUCAUUGGGUCAUUCAAGAGGAUGACUGUUGACCCAGAUUUCAAGUUGUAUCUAACAUCGAACGUGUCAUCGAGCGACUUCAACAUGGGCUACAGCAUGACGGGCACCCUCGAACGAGGCUGCAAAAAAACAAACACCUUUCAGAUGACGCAUUUUGCAGUUAUACGAAGACGCGACUACGAGAAAGCCUACGAGGAUCCGAACCCCACCUAGUGUCCGUCCCCACCCGCACUCUCCGAGUGUGGGGAUUACGAGCACUACACGUAGGUUUUUCGCCUCGAUACUCGGGCUCGCGAUACAUUUCAAGUGGGAAGCAACGAGGAAAGUACGAGACGGUGUCGUUGCAGUGAGAAAACAAAAGAAAUAUCGAGGCGUGAGUCAUUCCAAAGUUUGAUAAUCGGUCGAGCUCUUCGCUGAUGCGGAAGUCGUUAGGAUAUCGAGCGGAGACUUUAUCAAUCACGAGGAGAGAGAGAACAGGUUUUUAGAAUUAGAAAACAAAAAUCGUUUUUCAUCGUCACUCACGAAUUAUCGACUGGUCGAAUUUCGAAAUCUCUGCAUUUUUGACUCUCCAUUUCUCAUAAUCUUUCAACGAUAACAGAAAGAUUCGAGGACAAAAAAAUCGAACCUUGAUUUUUGGAAUAGCCACAUUUUUUUCGUAAGAAAUACCAUUUUGAUCGGAGCUCAAUUUCCUGUAAACGUUUCAAAAUUUACCAAAAAAUGCGUCAGUUAAACUGAAACAAUAACGAAACGAAAAUCGAAAUUCAAGUCGCACGCGAAUCUUGUUUUAUUUUUGCUCAAAAACAAUGAAUUUUAACGAAUCGAUGGCUGUUGUCUGUACGUAAAAACAGCCACUAUUAUUAUCUUUACUUUUAUUAUGAUCAUGAGGCAAACGGGACAUUUUCUCGGUCAGUCACGUUCGUUCACGAUCGUCGGUGAGACUGAGGAAAAUUCACGGAAAUUCCGGAUCCGCCAUCGUUCCAAAACGAGAUCGUCCUUUACGAAGGGAAGAGAAAAAGAGACAAAGAGCGGGGGCGGGAGAGGGAGAGGAGAAUGACAAGUCGUGCCGACGUGUCUCGUUAAUCAUGGUCCACUCUUUCACUAUCUGUCAUCCGGUGGAUUAUUUCCUCCAAUUAUAUUUCUCUCCCUCUCUUCGUCGUACAUUCUCGAUCAAGUGGCAUUUGCGACGAGUCGAUUUUUCGCUAGUCCUCACUCGCUGUAAAUCUCAUUUGUUCCGCAGACACGAGACUUUUGUAUAGUGCAGUAAUAUCAAAAGAAAUAAGGAUAAAAAAAAGAGCGUGCGGAGGGAGCGCGAACUUACGAAAUCCAAAGAAACGAAAAAAAAUUUAGUGACGAAACAAUUUAAUUCGAUUCAUUUCUGACAGCGCGAAUCGCGCGUUCUAGUCGAUAGUAGAAUGCAGAAAGCAAAGAAUUUUAAAAAGUUUUAAAAAAACGUCGUAAAAUAGUCUGAUAUUGAUGAUUUAUCUGGUCUCGAGAAACGAGAAAAAAAACUUUAACGAGUCCGAGACACCCCAGCAGCUACCGAGCCAAACGUCCAUUGAUAGUCUCUAAUUUAGAUGGAAUAAAUGAUCGAAUUGUUUAGGUGGAUUAAAAUUAUUGUAAAUGUUUAAGUGUAUAAAAAUUCAAAUGUGCGAGUAUGUCUGUGUAUGCGGGAGAUAAAUGAAAAAUGAGAAAGAAUAUGAAAAAAAAAAAAAAAAAAAAAAGAGAAAAGAAAUCAGCUCAACGAGCGCAAUUACCUAACGAGCCAGCACGGGCGAAAAGUAUACAAAAAAGUGAUUGAAACUUAACCAAAGUAUUAGCACGUAAGUCAACCAGAGCCAGGCAUUUUUCCAUUUAUUUUGGCUCCCAUCUCUGAGCGAAUGCGAUAGCGAAAAAAAACCAAAAUAUUGUGUACGAACGAGAUAAAUACGAGAAAGAGAGAGAGCUCCUGUUUAAUAAUAAUACUAAAAAUAAUAACGAUUAUCUUAAGAAUAAGGUAACAUUAACGAAAGCAGACGCCAAGAGCUUAUCCAUAGAGCAUUAUGCCACCGAGAAUGCACUGCGGUUCUUCUUAGGCGCCUGCUCCAUCAAAGCUUCUUCGUCGAUGAAUCACUAAUAGACGAUACAUAGUGUAAGCGAAAGUCACAAAUAACUCAACUUGCAAUCGAUAAUUUAUUUUUGCUAAUGUGUAGAAAGUUUGCGCGCGUUUGUUCCGCGAAACAAUCAAAAAGUUGAGUGCGACAGAGCAGUCGAGGGAAGAACAUCAAACGUCAUGACAACUGUCCUCGGUUUUUCUACUUUACGGAAAAGUUUUUCAGAAUUUCAUUCGAUUAUGUGUCCAUCCAAAAACAGGCAAAUCUGCUGGUACAUUUUGUGCCGGAAUAUUUUGUACUGUUAAAAAUCAUUUUGCAACAUCGUCCGAAGAUUUUAACAUUGAAAAAAUCUCUUUAAGGUAUUCACUCCUAUUAUUUUUCCAGACUUUUUCAUCUUUUUUUGUUUGUCUUACAAUUAAUGAAUUAUUGAGUUUUCGAGUCUAGGCGAAUUCGUCAGAAUUUGACGAAUUGAUGGAAUAUUCUGUUUAUUAAGCGGUAAAGCCCCUGGAUGGACACAUCCCAGUAUUGCCACAGCUUUGCUCGAAGCGUACACAGCAUCGGUUAAAAACGCCACCGCAUUAUCCAACCGAACCCUCCCACUUCGUCAUCGUUUAUUGUAAUACGUGAAUUCUCACCCGUGCCAAUAGAACCCACCACACCGUUGUUCCAAUCUAUUGAGAAAUUACUCUUCUGUUCAAACCCACAUGCCCGUUGGUCGUUCAACGAAAUUAAGGUAUUCCUUUCGCGAGCCCGAAUAUUCUACAAAUAACUGAUUUUAAAUUACAGUCAAGUUAAAGUGCAUGCGAAUAGAUUGGCGAAAUUUCAGGUCGGGUUAUCGAACGUUUAAUAAAGAAUGAAAACGUGAAAAAUCGUAAAAUUUGGGAGCUUAUGGAGAUCCCAUCGUCACCAAUUUUCUAUUCGAUAGUUCAAUUACUGAAUCAUUUUAAAUUCUUGAUACAAAUUGUCUCUGAAUCAGUCCAAACUUCGAGUGCCCCAAUUUGCGCAACCAAAAAAUACGUUCAUGCGAAUGGAAUACCUUAACGAACGCAAUGCACUAAUCGUAUUUUGCGAAUAGAAACGAGCGAGCAUUGUAUCGGAGUAUAAAUUUCUAACAGGCAUUUUUCGAGUAGUCGUUCACUACGAUGCAAAAAAAGAAAAGUGUCAAAAAACCGUCGAUUCCGACGCAGUGUUUUAGGUUCUCCAAAUUACGUUACAAAAAACAUCGUCGAAUAUUUUUCUAAUCAGAAUUUCAUCUUCAACCCACAAUAAUCAGUGUAAAAAAAUUCCAGACUCACAACAUUUUAUUUCUGAAGGAAAAAUAAGCAAAAAAACGAGCGAAUGAAAAAUUUGAUCUCAAGCACAGGUGUUUCAAUCUCUAGAAAAAUUUUGGUCAAUUUUUUGAGAAAUCUCGGUUCAAAGAAGACGGAAAAAUGCUUCGCGAUCACUGGCCGGGGGACGAGGUCGUUUUUUUGUCGUUUAGAUCGCCGCCAAUGAAAAUUUCGUUGUGAAUGAAUCGCGCACGGGAUGCAUUGAGUGCUUAUCGGUAUAGUGAUAUUGAAACGUGAAUUCGCGUUACAGGGUUUAAGCGAGUUGAGCUUGACGAGAUCGAUCUGAAAUUCUAUAAAAAUUGUGCAACGAUCGGCCUCAUCGCCUAAUCCUAUAUAAAUAUAUAAAAGUCGAGGGAAAAACAAACAGAGUAUGGUAAAUUAUUUUUGUGUCUCUGAAAGGAGUGCGUGUUGAAAAAAUGAUCGAAAGCAGAUCGAUCCCGUCGAGACGAGGGACGGAAGUGAGAGAGGAAAAAAAAUCUUUCAAAUAUUGAGGCCAUCGUCGAGAACCGCUGGCGCAGUUUGUGUGAAAAAUAAACAUUUCUCGUAGAUCUCUAAUAACGAAUCGUUAGCGAUAAAACAAAAGUAAUUAAACGUACUACGAUAUUUAGGUGAUUUAUCUGUCGGUGUUUAGAAAUCUCGAUGUCAAGCUUAACACUCACGGUCUUUCUAGUCUCAUAGGAACAUUGUGGAAAUUUCGGGUUUCUCCAUUCAUUGGAAGCGUCAGUAUUUUUUUGGAUUUUGAGAGAGACGAUUUGAUACUUUCAUGAGAGUCGUUCGAUCACAAUUGAUGAGAAACUUUAUUGAAUUUUUAUAAGAAAAUGAGAUUUUUCUCGAGAAGGAAUUGCUGAGGAAUAAAAAUGAAUUCAGUAUCGAUUCGAUGCCCAAUUAUUGUGACUGAAUGAAUUUACCUUCGAUUCGAAUUUUCCUUCAUAUUCGUCGCAUAAUCUCCGGUUAUAUUCUGCAUUUCUUUGCCCUGGUUUCGUACUCGAGCUUUUAGCAUUUUCACGAGUAUUUUCUUCGCCGUAUAGUUGAUCGUAAUACCGCAAAUUUCACCGCUAAUGGUCACGUCAGAAGUGCUUUCUCUCUCUUUGCCUCCCCCCCCCCCCCCACCCGCCCCUUUGGCUUCCUCGCUCUCACUUUUGGUCAGCAUUCGCGUUAUUUUACGCCAGUAGUUACUACACGCCACCGUGUCUGACUCGCGGCCAGAUAAAUUCGCGUUGGACCAUUUGCAUUCACGGAUUAACGCUCUCCGCGCUCGCUGCUUCUUCUACCACGUUCACGUUCACCCGUCCGCGUUGUGGUUUGUUACCGGAAUAUAUUAUACUCGAUUUAACGAUGCAUUUCAUCCGCAGUCCCGGAGACAACGCCACUGACACUUUUUCCCCCCGUUGCUUUCCCAUUCGAAUAUUCUUAUUUUCACGAUUAAUUGAAUUUUCCUUAAUCGAGGUAGUUCUGCAAAAUGGUCCGUCCUUUUUUCCUCCGUUUUUCACGGCGACGUGAAUAAAUCGGCAAACUUUUGUGGGCGAGAAUUUGUUCGCGUAUCAACUUCGUGACGUUUGGCAUCUCAUGAAAUUUCUUUGUUUUUUACGAAUAUAAAAUUCUCACAAUUCAUUUUCUAUUCGAUUAUCCGCUUAAGGUACUUCAUGCACGAAAUUAUUUUAUUAAGAAAGUCUUGCUGAAAUUUACACAGAGUAAAUGGAUAGUCGAUUGAUACGCAUGUCAAAUUUUAAACGAUUCGUCUUAUUGGUUGUUUAGAUAGACGUGCUUAAAUAUGAAGAAAAAUACACAGGGGUGGCAACGGGGGUGUGAAAAAUCAUUCAUCUUUUCAUAUAACGAGUGAACGCUUCUUACGAAGUUUAUGAAAAAGUACACAACAACAGUGAAGUAUGUUAUGAAAGUCUUGGAAAAAAUUUUUAACAUAAAAAACUCGUAAUUUCAUUAUCGCCAAAAGAUGAGUUGAAAAAAUGUAUUUACAAUUUUGAAUGAAUAACUCUGACAUUAAUUUAGAGUGCUGAUAAUAUCUUUAAUUACGAAGUAAAAAUCGAGCGAAUUUAGCGACGCCCUUAAAAUACGAUCGUUCGGGCAUGAUCUACCUUAAACCACUAGAAUUGAUCGGGUGAACCGAACCUUUUUCCUGCUUUUUCCCCAUCACGCGACAACAAUGACGAUAAUUCGUGAAAUUUUGACAACUCGCAAUAAUGAAACGCACGAGACCAAAGUAAAAUAUGAACACUCGAAUUAUCGUGGCACGAAAUUGGAAGGUGUAACCGUGGGAUAACGCCGAAAUUUCAAGCCCGCCCGCGAUCGCUACAGAUAGUAUUUUCUAAUCAAAUAAUUUUCGUUUGAAUGAGAUAGCGAAUCGAAAUUCUGUGCGAUAUUACGAGCGCGUUAAAUUAUCACGAGUAUUCGGAAAUGCUCGAUAAUCACGUUUUCACGAUUCGUAUAUGUAUGUAAUGUACAUGCCCCUGUGUAUACCUGUACACACAUAUAUUUGCGCGUAAACCCGAUCCGAAUAGUAAAAGCGAUUGGGGAAAUGUUACGAGCUUUCCCAGUCAAACGAGGGCCAAAGUUCAUUUAUAUAACAAGUCCCUUGCACACGUAACGAAUCAAUUAACGAGACUCUCCCGUCACGUACACGCAUUUAUGUGUGUGUAUGCAGAUAUUAGCGAGAGCAGAGAGGGGAGCAAAGGCUAGGGAGAGUGAGUCGUUAUGUUCGAGGGGUUUUUUCUUCCUUCCAAAUCCGAGGCUAGAAUCGUCGUGAGUUUCAUUUUGCGCUUAGCUAGUCGCGCCUCUUUUUCGCGAUGUGAGGGGGGAAAAACGAAAGCAUCGUUGCGCUAACUAGAGUGUAAUAGGGGGUUGAGUAAAGGCCAAUUUUUCGCUGAGUCUACGUAGUUUCAGUGUUGUUUAGCGGAGCAUUAAAGCAAAAAGACGAAGCGCUUCAUCUCGUUGUGUAUUAAAAAAGCCAAAAUGAUAAUUCAAGUCCGCGAAAAUUUUUCACUAGUCGAGUAUCAUAGGGGAAAAAAAAAAGAAGAAAAAACGAACGAAAAGAUUAAAAAGUAACAGAACAUGAAAGUGCAUCGAGCGAUGCAUUAUUCUAUUCUUUCGUCUAGUUUUAAAACUUUAGGAUACUAAAGAAAACGUUUUUCGUAGGAUGUUUUUCGAUGAUAAGUACACGUCCGAUAUCACGGUCCCUCCUGAACUACUUAGCAGUAGAGCAGACCCAAGAAAUGCACGCUUUCCUCGAGACUAUUUGAAUGAAAAAAAAAGAAAAAGAAAAAGGCAAACAGUCGAUAAUCUUCGUCAGCUGAUGCACUCGGGUCUUCUAGUCGUUUUUAUCUUGUUUCUCAAUAAUUUUGUCUCGUUUAUUCUCUCCGUUGACUUUUUAUAUCUCACAGUGAACGCAAUCCUGUUCCGACUUCCGUCCGAACGGACUUAAAUUAAUAAGCUCAAUGAAAAUCGACCCUAAAUUAUAGAGAAAAUUCUUUAUCCGAGUUAGACGUUUUUAGAAAAAGUAUUUUAGACGAUGGUUGAAUGUUUCGUUACGUUUUACAACGAUUUUAUUUUGUACAGAGACGCGCUCGUAUCGUUUGUAGUGAGCUUGACCUUUAUGCGCGGACACGAUUCGAAUCGAUACGAGUUUGGGCGGAAGUUUGAAUCGGAAUGAUUCCGAGAAGCGUGAAAUGUGUAGAUUAGAUUAUUAGAUCGAUAGUGUUUUAAUAGUGUGUAUUUAUUCGUGUAGCGUCGACAUUGAUCGUCCGAGUCCUUAAAGAUUCGAUAAUUCGAAUGUGUGAACGUUGUAGAUAGACAUUUUUCGUUGUUCUUUUAUUUCGUUAUCUUGAAAAAUCAAAAUACUUUUUGGGACUCGAACGAACAUUGGAUUCGAUAGUCCAACCGGGCAAAUAGUGCAAUUGGAAAAUCUCCGUUCGUUCCACGAGGAACGAACGGCGGAGAUCACUGGAUUGGGAGAGGGAGAAUCAAAGUUUCGAAAAGUGUAGAAAAUUUUCGAGAUACCUUCGCGGUAAUGAGAAAUGAAAAAAAAACGAAAACGAAUAAAAAAGCACAAAAUUUUACUAUCGCAAUCCAGCGUGUCGGAUUAGUCAUCGGUGUGUAGAAAUUCUAGCAGCUAAAUAGUAGAGAACUGAAUUUAUUAUUAUUCUUAUUAUCGCUAUAAAGUUACGAUAAUUGGUAAUGAUCUUGCGAAAUAAUAAAGAAAAUUGCAAAUGUUUUUGCAAUUCGGUUUUUUUCAAUAUUCGUAUUCAAAGCUAUGGCUGUGAUCGUAAAAUUAAUUGAUAAAACAAAAAAUAAGAUAAAAAAUAAGAGGGGAGGGGCGGAGAGAGGGGGCAGAGGAAAAGAUAAAAGUGGUUCAUAUAUGUGUAUAUUAUAAUGUAUUCGACGAUUAUGUGCAUAGAAUUACGUUGUACAAUGUACAUUAAACGGGAGAGAAUGGGGGGAAAAAAAGUGAAGAAAUAUUUUGAAAACGCAAUCGUUCAAUAAGUUUAUUUAAUAUAUUCAAAAUUGUAAAGUGAUUCUUCCUUAUGAAAAUCUACAAGUGCGAAGAAAAUUGAUUGAACCCGAAGGAGUCAAAAUUCGGGAAGGAUCACUCCAAGUUUUUUUCGUUAUCGAGAGCCAUUGAGUAUCUCGAAAUGAAUUGGCAAAAUGUUGAAAAUUUUUUACGUUUAUUUUAUGAAAAAUAGUUGUAAACUGUAAAUAAAUAAUGUCCGAGGUCGCUCGGUGUCAACGAAGUGAAAAGGGGGGGAGAAAGAAGAGAAAAUAAUCGUUUCCGGUGUGUGAGAGAAUCAAAGGGUAAUUCGACGAUUGUACGAGUCGCUCGAUGAAAUCAAAUCUGUAAAUAGUUGACAAGCGCGAUCCUCGAUUCCGCAAUCGUAAAAUAUUUAAUUCCAGAGAGAAAUAAAAAAAAAAAAAAAAACUGUGGAGGCAAUUAAGUCUCCUCGCGAUGCGCAACGAAUGACGAAACGCUUGAUUCCUAAAGAAAAAAAAUGAGGCGACAAGUGCGCGCUUCCUUGUAACGAUUUAACUUCGAUUUCGUCGUUCGUCAAAGCCAAUGAAAAAUAAAAUAUUAAGUUGCGAAAUACUAAGCGCUCAAACGAUCAUGGGAAGUAACGGAGAAGCCAAAAACCCAACCGAAAAUCCGUAAACGCAUUACGAAUCUUGAAAUAAUCAGUUUUCUUACAUAUUUUGAGUAACUUUCAGUGACGUUCGCCGAACAAAAGCACCGCUAAUGCGCCCAUAGAAAGCACGCUAUUUAUUGACAACUACAAACCAAAAACAGGUACGAAAAAACAUCGACGGAUGAGACAAAGAUUGUUGACAAUUAAUCAAAGAAUUAUCGAAAAGAAACGAAUAACUCGUGCGUCUUACGGUUCAGGAGCGCAACAACGAUCGACGGAAAUGCGUUUACGUGAAAACAGAGCCAAAUACUUCGAUGUAUUUUCACUACAGUCCUGUCUACAGUCAAUUCAUUUUGUAUCUAUACCUAAUCUAUAUGUAUCUAUUGUCAUAAUUUAAUGCCAAAUAAAUGUUACAUUUACGCAGAUAAAAA
rnacentral:misc_RNA from 1 species